rnacentral:rRNA from 1 species
GACGUAGGGUCCAAGCGUUGUCCGGAUUUACUGGGCGUAAAGAGCGCGUGAGCGGCUCGUUAAGUGUGAAGUGAAAUCUCUAGGGCUCAACCCAGAAACUGCUUUACAUACUGGCGAGCUGGAGUGAUGAAGAGGUUUGUGGAAUUCCUGGUGUAGCGGUGAAAUGCGUUGAUAUCAGGAGGAACACCCAUGGCGAAGGCAGCAAACUGGUCAUCAACUGACGCUGAGGCGCGAAAGCGUGGGUAGCAAACAGG